rnacentral:sRNA from 1 species
UUGCUACCCCUACGGCCAGGGACUGGCCC